rnacentral:lncRNA from 1 species
GACUGAGAACAUCUUGGAUUCACCUCAAGCUCCAAAUCGAACUUGGGUUGAUGCGCAUGCCAGUGAUGGCUCCAACCAGCAAAAUAUUAGAGUGGAGAUGGCCAAAGUCUCUACUGGGAAUUCUUCCAGCGGUGAAUCCAAUUCAAAGUCAUCAAUCGCCACUACUGAAGUGGGGAAUUCAUCAAAUUUCAUUAGCGAUCAGACAUCAACAGUAAAGGAUGAGAACACCAGCUCCGACAUGAAAGGUGAAGCAGAGAACAUUUUGAAACUACCCUCGAUGACGAAGGAGAAUG